CCCCUUCGGGGGUGUAUAAAGCGGCGAACGGGUGAGUAACAGGUGGGUAAUCUGCCUUUCGGUGGGGGACAACGGCUGGAAACGGCCGCUAAUACCGCAUUCGAUUGCUUUGUCACAAGACUAGGCAAGGAAAGACGCGUUUGCGUCGCCGAAAGAUGAGCCCGCCCCCCAUUAGCUUGUUGGUGUGAUAACAGCGCACCAAGGCUUCGAUGGGUAGCCGAGCUGAGAGGUUGAUCGGCCACACUGGAACUGAGAUACGGUCCAGACACCUACGGGUGGCAGCAGUAGGGAAUAUUGCGCAAUGGGCGAAAGCCUGACGCAGCCAUGCCGCGUGGAUGAUGAAGGCCUUCGGGUCGUAAAGUCCUUUUCUGAGGGAAGAACAAGUGGGGUAGGAAAUGGCCCCGCCCUGACGGUACCUCAGGAAUAAGCAACGGCAAACUCCGUGCCAGCAGCCGCGGUAAUACGGAGGUUGCAAGCGUUGUUCGGAUUUACUGGGCGUAAAGGGAGCGCAGGCGGUUUGAUAAGUCUGAAGUGGAAGCCCGGGGCUCAACCCCGGAAGGCCUUUGGAUACUGUCAAACUUGAGUUCGUGAGAGGAAAGUGGAAUUCCAGGUGUAGCGGUGAAAUGCGUAGAUAUCUGGAGGAACAUCAAUGGCGAAAGCAGCUUUCUGGCACGAUACUGACGCUGAGGC
rnacentral:rRNA from 1 species